rnacentral:rRNA from 1 species
CCGGUGGAGUAACCAUUUAUGGAGCUAGCCGUCGAAGGUGGGACAAAUGAUUGGGGUGAAGUCGUAACAAGGUAGCCGUAUCGGAAGGUGCGGCUGGAUCACCUCCUUUCUAAGGA